UGGCGGCGUGCCUAACACAUGCAAGUCGAACGGGAAUCUUCGGAUUCUAGUGGCGGACGGGUGAGUAACGCGUAAGAAUCUAACUUCAGGACGGGGACAACAGUUGGAAACGACUGCUAAUACCCGAUGUGCCGCAAGGUGAAAACUAAUUGGCCUGAAGAAGAGCUUGCGUCUGAUUAGCUAGUUGGUGGGGUAAGAGCCUACCAAGGCGACGAUCAGUAGCUGGUCUGAGAGGAUGAGCAGCCACACUGGGACUGAGACACGGCCCAGACUCCUACGGGAGGCAGCAGUGGGGAAUUUUCCGCAAUGGGCGAAGGCCUGACGGAGCAACGCCGCGUGAGGGAGGAAGGUCUUUGGAUUGUAAACCUCUUUUCUCAAGGAAGAAGUUCUGACGGUACUUGAGGAAUCAGCCUCGGCUAACUCCGUGCCAGCAGCCGCGGUAAUACGGGGGAGGCAAGCGUUAUCCGGAAUUAUUGGGCGUAAAGCGUCCGCAGGUGGUCAGCCAAGUCUGCCGUCAAAUCAGGUUGCUUAACGACCUAAAGGCGGUGGAAACUGGCAGACUAGAGAGCAGUAGGGGUAGCAGGAAUUCCCAGUGUAGCGGUGAAAUGCGUAGAGAUUGGGAAGAACAUCGGUGGCGAAAGCGUGCUACUGGGCUGUAUCUGACACUCAGGGACGAAAGCUAGGGGAGCGAAAGGGAUUAGAUACCCCUGUAGUCCUAGCCGUAAACGAUGGAUACUAGGCGUGGCUUGUAUCGACCCGAGCCGUGCCGAAGCUAACGCGUUAAGUAUCC
rnacentral:rRNA from 1 species